rnacentral:lncRNA from 1 species
AGUUACUAUGCAGGUGAAAUAAUUGAGAAAGUAUAUCUACACACACAAUGCCUGGUUCAUAAUAAGCAUCCAGUAGUUACUUACAACUCAAAUAGUUUUAGUUUGUUUCUUCAGUUGUGAAGUUGCAACAUUACUGCCUAUGUCCCAGUAUUGUCAUAAAGGUUAAAUGAAUAUAUGUGUAUAAAGUGCUGAAUACAAUUUCUGGAAUAGAUUUGUUUUCCUUUGCAGUAAGUCUCUUCACAUUUUAAUAAGUCAUUAGUUCCUUAAUGUGAACAUUUCUUUUUGGGAUUAGGUUUUGUGCCCUCAAGCCUGGCUGCACUCAACUGUCAAGUGAACAGCCCAGAUGGCAAGAUAGAUAGCAGAGGGAGGGAGUGGUGACUUAAGGGAAGAAAGAGGCUUUUUUUCUGCAUGUGUAAUAGUGUUCUUUACCUUUACCUUUUGACCAGAAUGUCUUUUCCCCUUCUGGCAGGGACUUGAUUUUGUUCACUAUUGUAUCUGCAGUGUCUAGAACAAUGUUUGGCCAUAGUUGGAGCCCAGAAAGUACUUGAUGGUAGAUGAGUGGAUGAAUAGGAGUCUGUUAAAGGAGAAGCAGCAUUACUGCCCCAUUCUAACAGUGUUUGAGUGAGCAGUUACUAUGUCCUAGGCAUUUUACUGCCUCCACAUAGGUAUUCUCUGGCAGUUCCAGUCUUUCAGAGUGAAAGCAUUCCUCCUCUGUCUUACUUCUUUCCAGUACCCUUUAGACUGCCCUUAACCGUUUCAAACGGUCCACAAGUUUCUACUUACAUGAAGUUCAGCUUCAUGAUAUUUUUCUAGAAAUUCAC